rnacentral:lncRNA from 1 species
GCCAACUUCAAACUGCCCCUCAGAAGGAGGCCCUCGCUCUCUCUGAUCCCGGAGGCCCAAGUCAGUGGCUUCACAUCUCGCCAGGAACCCGGGGCUUCCCUGGGUUGACAGCAGGGAUGGAACAGGAUUCUGCCAGGAUGGGGGUGAAGGGUUGAUUUUGGGAGCAGAACGCAACACCUGAUCUCGAUUGAAACUUUGGCAGCUACAGCUCUCUUUUUCAUUUUGAUAUCCAUUGCAGCUAUGGACGAUGGUGGAGUGAGUAUACGUCAGUGACUUGUCCCUGCUGUGAAUGAAAAUACUUCUAACAUUUCAAAUUCAAGUAUGCUUCCUGUCAAUUUUAGGAAAUCAAAGUUUUUAAUCUUAGUUUGCUAAAAGGUGUUAAUUACAAAUCACAUACACUUUCUUUCAGAGG